UGCUCCUGAAAAGUGGGCAGGAAAAGCUGGUUGUGUACAAGUUACCACAGCACGAAUGACAUAAAACACUGACUGCAGUUGACGUCCCUCAACACGUUCAGGAGUCCAACACUACGGUUCUGGUUUGGUUUUCAGCUGGAAGGCAUGGGCUUUGAUAACCACUUAUCUUGCUCAAGUUGUUCAACACAGAAACAAGACCGAUGAAGCCUUCAUCUUUGGCCUAAUAUCCAAAAGAACUUACAAGGCUGUGUUUCAGCAUUUAUAUUGUCAGACCUUGCUGUGACUAGAGAGUAAUCUUCCAGAAUACGAAGCAUAUUUGCCCUAGGUACACUGAGCCUUUAAACCUCCAGUGUUAUACUUAGAAUUGACUGGAUUAAGAUCAAAGGCAUCAUAAAUGGUAGAGUUUUUGUUGAAAAGAAGAAAGGGACUUUGUAAUUACUACUUUAUAAAAGGUGAUAAGUAGUGAAAUAAAACCAACAUUGUCUACAAACAGUUGAAAUAAGGUCUUGAGGUGUAGCACAGCAACUCUUACAUAGUUUAUGCAUUACCUUACGUGUGUUGUAGGAAUCUGCAGUCUGAUGUUUUCUGCGUUCUGGUGUUUGGAAAGAGGAGAGGAAGAGGGAAAAGAAGAUGGAAACUAUAAACACUGGGCUUUUACCUGUCUGCCUCCAGCCAGCAGGAAGGUUCCCACAUUAGAGACCUGCUCACUUUAGCUUGUUGUUAUGGGCUUCCCUACUGGACUUCCAGCUAAUAUUGGCAGGAAUACAAGUUGGUGAGAAGGCAAGACCCAGCUCCCUCUGACAUCUCAUUGACCUUGGAAGAUAUUUGGAUUGCAGCCCAAAUGAAAAAUGAUAUAAUACAUCUUCAGGAAAGAAUUUA